rnacentral:rRNA from 1 species
UAGGGAAUCUUCCGCAUGGGGGCAACCCUGACGGAGCAACGCCGCGUGAGUGAAGAAGGUUUUCGGAUCGUAAAGCUCUGUUGUUAGUCAAGAACGAGUGUGAGAGUGGAAAGUUCACACUGGGACGGUUUCUUACCAAAAGGGGACGGCUAACUACUGGCCACCACCCGCGGUAAUACUUAGGUCCCGAGCGUUGUCCGGAUUUAUGGGGCGUAAAACAAGGGCAGGCGGUUUGAUAAUUCGAAGGUUAAAGGCUGUGGCUCACCCGAAAAUCGCUUUGGAAACUGUCUAACUUGAGUGCAGAAGAGGAUAGUGGAAUUCCAUGUGUAGCGGUGAAAUGCGUAGAUAUAUGGAGGAACACCGGUGGCGAAAGCGGCUCUCUGGUCUGUAACUGACGCUGAGGCUCGAAAGCGUGGGGAGCGAACAGGAUUAGAUACCCUGGUAGUCCACGCCGUAAACGAUGAGUGCUAGGUGUUGGAUCCUUUCCGGNAUUCAGUGCCGCAGCUAACGCAUUAAGCACUCCGCCUGGGGGAGUACGACCGCAAGGUU